AGCUUCUGGACCUGACCGAGAAGUCAAUUCUGGAUAAGAUGGGGCCAUGUGACCAUUUUUCCCAACCUCGCUCUGCUGAUGUGCAAAUGUCAUUUAAUUCUAUGAUUUGCAAUUCAAUAAUGCCCAACAGAACAAACCCAGGGAGGCAGUGGAAUGGGCUGUGUCCUUUAUAACCUAGUCAGCAUCUAUAACUGUUAUUCUCAGUGGUUCUGUCCUCGGGGGAGGGGGGUGGAUUUGUUAAUACUGGGCUAAAAUGAUAUGACAUGGAGAAAGGCAGCCAGGCUACUUAUUUAAACAAAACAAAAUGAAAACUGCACUCAGAGCUGGGCAUGGUGGUGCAUGCCUUUGAUCCUCAAGAGACAGAUCUCUUAGGCCAGCUUGGUCUACAGAGCAAGAUCCAGGAAAGCUAGGGCUACACAGAGUGGGGUAGGGCACACAAGCUGCUCUUAGUAGAUGUGGGGAAAACUGGGGUAGGUAGAUGGGGUGCUAUGUAGUAGAGAUACCAAGACUUCAUAAGAGGAAGAAGGAAGACAGGAAAAAGCUGGGCAAAGUGAUGCACAUCAUUAAUUCCAACACUGGUGAAGUAGAGACAGGGUGAGUUCAAGCGCUUUUAUUCUCUCUAGUCAAAAUGUUUAAAAGUUACGUUUCCUGUAAGUCUGUCUUAACCUUAUGGCUCCAAUCACUCAUUUCCUCAACAUUUUUUAUAACCUGUAAGUCAUAUAAUUUUCUUCUUGGUUUAUCAUCUGUGCUAAUUUUAAAAUCACAACAGUGUGAGAAUGAAUACAGUGUGCUGCACAUAUUUGGUACUUAGUGUCUGCUCC
ensembl:antisense Gm17058 predicted gene 17058